rnacentral:rRNA from 1 species
AUCAUGGCUCAGAUUGAACGCUGGCGGCAGGCCUAACACAUGCAAGUCGAACGGUAGCACAGAGAGCUUGCUCUCGGGUGACGAGUGGCGGACGGGUGAGUAAUGUCUGGGAAACUGCCUGAUGGAGGGGGAUAACUACUGGAAACGGUAGCUAAUACCGCAUAACGUCGCAAGACCAAAGAGGGGGACCUUCGGGCCUCUUGCCAUCAGAUGUGCCCAGAUGGGAUUAGCUAGUAGGUGGGGUAACGGCUCACCUAGGCGACGAUCCCUAGCUGGUCUGAGAGGAUGACCAGCCACACUGGAACUGAGACACGGUCCAGACUCCUACGGGAGGCAGCAGUGGGGAAUAUUGCACAAUGGGCGCAAGCCUGAUGCAGCCAUGCCGCGUGUAUGAAGAAGGCCUUCGGGUUGUAAAGUACUUUCAGCGGGGAGGAAGGUGUUGUGGUUAAUAACCACAGCAAUUGACGUUACCCGCAGAAGAAGCACCGGCUAACUCCGUGCCAGCAGCCGCGGUAAUACGGAGGGUGCAAGCGUUAAUCGGAAUUACUGGGCGUAAAGCGCACGCANGCGGUCUGUCAAGUCGGAUGUGAAAUCCCCGGGCUCAACCUGGGAACUGCAUUCGAAACUGG